UGGGGAAUUUUGGACAAUGGGGGAAACCCUGAUCCAGCCAUCCCGCGUGUGCGAUGAAGGCCUUCGGGUUGUAAAGCACUUUUGGCAGGAAAGAAACGUCAUGGGUUAAUACCCCGUGAAACUGACGGUACCUGCAGAAUAAGCACCGGCUAACUACGUGCCAGCAGCCGCGGUAAUACGUAGGGUGCAAGCGUUAAUCGGAAUUACUGGGCGUAAAGCGUGCGCAGGCGGUUCGGAAAGAAAGAUGUGAAAUCCGAGAGCUCAACGUUGGAACUGCAUUUUUAACUACCGGGCUAGAGUGUGUCAGAGGGAGGUGGAAUUCCGCGUGUAGCAGUGAAAUGCGUAGAUAUGCGGAGGAACACCGAUGGCGAAGGCAGCCUCCUGGGAUAACACUGACGCUCAUGCACGAAAGCGUGGGGAGCAAACAGG
rnacentral:rRNA from 1 species